AGAGUUUGAUCCUGGCUCAGAACGAACGCUGGCGGCACGUUUUAAGCAUGCAAGUCGGACGGCAGUGGGGGCAACCCCAUGAGAGUGGCGAACGGGUGAGUAACACGUAGGUGAUCUGCCUUGAGGCUGGGGAUAGCCUGUGGAAACACAGGGUAAUACCGAAUGAGCUGGAUUGACUUUGGUUGAUCUAGGAAAGGUGC
rnacentral:rRNA from 1 species